rnacentral:rRNA from 1 species
CAGUCGCCGCGGUAAUACGUAGGUCCCGAGCGUUGUCCGGAUUUAUUGGGCGUAAAGCGAGCGCAGGCGGUUAGAUAAGUCUGAAGUUAAAGGCAUUGGCUCAACCAAUGUAUGCUUUGGAAACUGUUAGACUUGAGUGCAGAAGGGGAGAGUGGAAUUCCAUGUGUAGCGGUGAAAUGCGUAGAUAUAUGGAGGAACACCGGUGGCGAAAGCGGCUCUCUGGUCUGUCACUGACGCUGAGGCUCGAAAGCGUGGGUAGCGAACAGGAUUAGAUACCCGAGUAGUCCCUGUCCUUAUACAC